CACUGGACUGAGACACGGCCCAGACUCCUACGGAGCAGCAGUGGGGAAUAUGCACAAUGGCGCAAGCUGAUGCAGCGACGCCGCGUGAGGGAUGACGGCCUUCGGGUGUAAACCUCUUUCAGUAGGGAAGAAGCCUUCGGGUGACGGUACCUGCAGAAGAAGCGCCGGCUAACUACGUGCCAGCAGCCGCGGUAAUACGUAGGGCGCGAGCGUUAUCCGGAAUUAUUGGGCGUAAAGAGCUCGUAGGCGGUUUGUCGCGUCUGCUGUGAAAGCCCGGGGCUUAACUCCGGGUGUGCAGUGGGUACGGGCAGACUAGAGUGCAGUAGGGGAGACUGGAAUUCCUGGUGUAGCGGUGAAAUGCGCAGAUAUCAGGAGGAACACCGAUGGCGAAGGCAGGUCUCUGGGCUGUUACUGACGCUGAGGAGCGAAAGCAUGGGGAGCGAACAGGAUUAGAUACCCUGGUAGUCCAUGCCGUAAACGUUGGGCAUUAGGUGUGGGGGACAUUCCACGUUUUCCGCGCCGUAGCUAACGCAUUAAGUGCCCCGCCUGGGGAGUACGGCCGCAAGGCUAAAACUCAAAGGAAUUGACGGGGGCCCGCACAAGCGGCGGAGCAUGCGGAUUAAUUCGAUGCAACGCGAAGAACCUUACCAAGGCUUGACAUGUGCCAGACCGCCAUAGAGAUAUGGUUUCCCUUUUGGGCUGGUUCACAGGUGGUGCAUGGUUGUCGUCAGCUCGUGUCGUGAGAUGUUGGGUUAAGUCCCGCAACGAGCGCAACCCUCGUUCCAUGUUGCCAGCGGGUUAUGCCGGGGACUCAUGGGAGACUGCCGGGGUCAAUUCGGAGGAAGGUGGGGACGACGUCAAAUCAUCAUGCCCCUUAUGUCUUGGGCUUCACGCAUGCUACAAUGGCCGGUACAAUGGGUUGCGAUACUGUGAGGUUGAGCUAAUCCCAAAAAGCCGGUCUCAGUUCGGAUUGGGGUCUGCAACUCGACCCCAUGAAGUCGGAGUCGCUAGUAAUCGCAGAUCAG
rnacentral:rRNA from 1 species